ensembl:snRNA U6 U6 spliceosomal RNA
GUGUGCUCGCACAUAUACUAAAAUUGGAAUGAUACAGAGAAGAUUAGCAUGGCUCCUGUGCAAGGAUGACAUGCAAAUUCAUGAAGCGUCCCAUAUUUUU